CAAGACUGAGGCACAGAGAGGUCAAGCUGUUGGUAUAAGGUUUUGUAGCUGAUGGUGGCAGAGCUGGGGUUUGAACCGGAUCCAGAGGCUGUCUCCUAAGCCCGACCUAUGAAUGAGAGCAUCUGUUAGCCAUCAACGCUGUCGCUGUUUGUGGGGAGACCGUAGGAGGCCUCAGCCCAGACCUGAGCCCCCAGGGGACAAAGUGUGGAGAGUGAUCCAGGCAGAGGGAACAGCAAGUGCAAAGGCGGGCAGUGAAGGACAGCAAAGAGGCCAGCACGGAGGGAACUGCCAGGCCGUGAGGCUGGAUCACGCCAGGCCUGCAGUCCACAGUGAACCAUGGGAGGGUUUUCAGAUUCCAGGGGGGCCCCAGAGUUGGGGUGCAGAAAAAGGGAGGCUGAUGCCAGCCUCUUGACACAGAAUGUCAGCUCCUUGAGGGCACAGACUCUCAGGCACUUUGAUUCACUGCAGUGUCCCACGUGCCUAGACCAGGACCUGGCACACCACAGGAAGACACUCAGGCUAUAAAAACAUUCUAUACAGCGGUUCCAAAAGCGACACCGACGCCCCCAGCAACCAUAUAUACAACACGGACCCGAUUCUCCGGAGAGCAGGGCG